GACGAACGCUGGCGGCGUGCUUAACACAUGCAAGUCGAACGGUGAAGCGCCUUCCUUUUUGGUGGGUGUGGAUGAGUGGCGAACGGGUGAGUAACACGUGAGUAACCUGCCCCCUCCUUCUGGAUAACCGCAUGAAAGUGUGGCUAAUACGGGAUAUUCCGGGUCUGUCGCAUGAUGGGUCUGGGGAAGAUAUUGCUUCGGUGGGGGACGGGCUCGCGGCCUAUCAGUUUGUUGGUGGGGUGAUGGCCUACCAAGGCGGUGACGGGUAGCCGGCCUGAGAGGAUGGGCCGUCCCACAGCGGCGGCGACGCCGACAAGACUACUAGAGGAAGCAGCAGUGAGGAAUAUUGCACGAUCGGCACAAGGCUGAUGCAGCGACGCCGCGUGAGGGAUGGAGGCCUUCGGGUUAUGAACCUCUUUCGCCAGUGAAGCAGGCCUGCCUCGUUUGUGGGUGGGUUGACGGUAGCUGGAUAAGAAGCGCCGGCUAACUACGUG
rnacentral:rRNA from 1 species